rnacentral:lncRNA from 1 species
AAACACAGUCUCUGAAGCACUUGCUGUGCUUCUCUUGUGCCUCAUCGGUUGGGAACAGGGUGCCUGCCCUUCAGAGUGAUCGCAGCAGAUGGGUUGCAGCCGAGGAAUCCCCACUGGGUCUCGAAUCCUUCCAGGAAAAGCAGCAAGUGGACGUAGACUGCCGCCCAGGACAUCUGGCUUUGCAGGUGCUUGUUAAACUCCCUCAUAAAAAAGGCAGAGUUGACUGCAUAGUCUCGGCUCACCAUUGAGGCUUGGCCCCCAGGGCCUCGAUUAGGAGACGAUCUGGACAGCGACUCGGAAACUCACAGAAAAGGCCAGGCAGGCCCUUUCUCGCUGUCGCCAAACCUGAAAGCUUUGUGGGUUGUGAUUCCUAGUGAGUCUAGCACUGGACGCUGGAGAGAAGAACGGUUUAGAGGCAUAGGUUGUCUGUGCUCAUUGAAUUAGAAAGGGAAGAGAGGCAAAAAUGAUUAGAGGAGGAAGACCAUCCAUCACAGGGUUUUGGCCCUAUGCCAUUAGAUCCUAUUAUAAAAAAGACUGAGUAAUCAGGGUACCUGUUAAGGGUGUCCACAGAGGCACGAGGUCUGAGGCCUCUAUCCAUUCUCUCGGUGGGAUGGGUGCCAUCUUCCAUCAAAUCCCCUGGCGGAUGGCGUCUUCACUCUGAAAGGGGUGGGAAGGCCUCCCAGGCGAGGAAGGAGUGGCAAGACAGGGACAGGCCCUCACCUCCUGCUCUCCUGGAAGUCCUCUCCCCUCCCUGGGCCCCUGUGGCUUCCCCCUCCACACAGUGGGACAAUUUGGGAGCAUUUAGCAUGAAAUCACUUGAUGAAUGAAGACGUUUGGCCUGAUAUUCUGGUCACAGUUAAGGCUUGAGCCACAAAAAUGAAAACCCAAAAAUCACGUUGUUUGGCCCAGGCCUGGGAGCUGGCAAGAUGAGCGGGGACAGGCGGAGGCAGUGGUUACGGUGCAAACCAAGCCACCAUGCAGGCUGAGCUCCCCAAAGCCCGCGCACAAGCCCACCUUAUGUGGCUAUUUCUGGAGCACAACUUAGUACAGGCUGCUCUUUCAGAGGCUGAGGAGUCUCAUCCUCGUCACCCUCCCCCCAAAAAACCUUUCUGAUGUGAACAUUCCAGAUUUACCGAAAAGUUAAAAGCAUAGCAUGAUGAGCUUCGUGUGCCUUUUCUCCAGACUCACCAACCUUCGGUACGUUGCUGCUUCGGCUUAAUCCCCGUUCACCCUCCCCACCCCCCAGUCACAGUCCGAGAGGUUUGGAGGCAGUGACUUCGGCCACUUGGAGGUGGUUCAGACAAAGAAGGAGACCGGGGGGGCACUGUGCAUCUCCCAGGAACAGGAGCUCUCUCUUUGGUGGCAGUGCCAUUAUCUCCCUUAAGAAUACAAGUAUCUAAGAUCCAACCCACACUCACCUAUCCCCGCUUGUCCCAAACUGUCCCCCAGGGCUUUUUUUUCCUCUGUGAAUCUAAGAGACAAUCCAAGAUUGUAUCUCACAUCACUGGCCCAAUUCCCCGGGUUGGAGACAUUUUUCUUCCUUUUUUUUGUGUGUUUCAUGACGUUGCCAUUUUGGAGUCUGGGCCAGUUGCCUUGUAGGCUGAGCUGCAGUCCGCCUGUUUCCCUGGGGUCAAGGGAUUUAGACAAGAAACGGAGGCGAUGUUGCGAUGAAUGUACUUGAGCGAGCCGGCUUUCUGGAGACCUCUGUGCCUCCCUCUUUCAAGGCAGAUAAACAAGGCAUCUUCAGUGCUGUUCUCCUCAAUUAGAAGCACUAGCUGAAGCUUCAGGAAUGGGUCCAGGAGCCUCUGGACACCAGAUCGCAUUGCUAGAGCUGAACAAGGCUCUGCUUCUCUGACUUCUCACAGGGAUCUCCUUUCUGUGCCGAGUAUCUGCCGUCUUUCCCCAAACACCUGUGGGGAUGAUCUGGCUAUAAAUAGACAGAAAGCACAGAGAUGUUCCUUCAUCAAUUGUAAAGGGCUGGCAGGUGGAACCCAGUAGGGUGGUUGGAAGGAUGCCUGUAACCUGGUGGGGUAUGCGGGCACCCAGUUGGGUCUCGAUGAGAAGUAAUGAUUGCCAAGCCCUCCCCAUCAUUGAUCCUGAAACACGGACUUGGCUGCUGCGGCACUACUGUCAGCCAUGAAGGGCUGAAUCUGUGACCUCAUUUUGAGAUGUUGGUUUGCACUGGCACGUUCCAUGGCAUGGCCUUCUCCGUUCCGGUCACAUAGAGCAAUGCACCUGCCAUGGCUCAAAACCUUUUAUUUUGAUCAAGAAAAUAUGUCCAUGUGGAUUCGCGCCUCUCAGCCUUUGCCCAUGCUGUUCCUGCUGUCCAGAAGGCUCCCCGCUCAUCUCGAGGGUGGAGGUGGAGGUGGGAGCAUCUCACGGGUCCUUUAAAAGCUCCUCCUGACUAUUUGCCCCAUGCAGGACUCGGUGAUGCCCUCCUCUGGGGCCCCCAGUCCUUCUAUCAUCUAUGAGCAUGCUGGGGAGCAAACCUCCGACGGCCCUGGCAGUGGGAGCUGUGGGUGCCCGGCAGCACCCACAGAGGGGAAUAAAGACAAUUUGGCUUCCGGCACCUUGCCUAAAUGGCCAUUUGUCCCUGUCUUCAAGGCAUGUCUUAACUUUAGGGCAGGCAUUUGUUCCAUCCCAGCAAACUGGUGCACAUUCUUCAGAUGAAAACCAUCACCCCACCAAUUUGCCCAGGAGGCAAGUGGUUGGCAUGUCACCACACACCAGGGUCACUCUUGUGACAUUUCACCUCGCAGUGGGUAAGCCCUGUGCUGCCAGUGUCACUAGGAUCCAGGUCAGCACUUUUCUCGUGGAAGUACUCCUCGGAGAGGCCAAGUGGAGUGGGAACGGGCACAGCGAGUGACAGGACCCCCAACCUCAGCUCUGCACCUGCCCCGCUCACUCUGGGCUCUGAGACAGGCCAUGGCACAGUCCUUUUGCCCCAGUGGAGUGGCUUCUGCCAUUCACAGGCAGGUGGUAGCCUCUUUGAGCCUCAGUUUUCCCAUCUUUAAGUUGGGGAUUACAAGAUAUACCCUGCUGCACAGAGUGGCUACAAGAGCAGCAUGUGAUGGCAUUUUCCAGGCAUCUACCCUGAGCCAAGUGCUGACCUAGAGUUCUUACAGUGUUUGCUUCACUUUUCUUCCUUCCUUCCUUGUCUUUUUAGGUCCAUACCCACAGCACAUGGAAGUUCCCAGGCUAGGGGUCAAAUUGGAGCUGUAGCUGCCAGCCUAUGCCACAGGUCACAGCAAUGCUGGAUCCUUAACCCACUGAGUGGGGCCACAGAUCCAACCCGCAUCCUCAUGGGAGCUAGUUGGGUUCUUAACCUGCUGAGCCAUGGAUGGGAACACCAGUGUUUGCAUUUCUUGUAAAGGCCAGCCCGAGCCUACUGCAAGGAGACUUCUGGGCAUUUGACAUAAAGCCCAGUUCUGGAGAGGCAGUGAUUGUCAGUGGAGGAACUCGGGCAGGGCUUCACGGAGGAGUUGGCUUCUGGUCAUCUUUGGGAAGAGCCUUGAAGCGGGGAGUGGAUGCUGUUUUAGGCAGAGGCACAGGUGUGUGGAUGUGCAGGGAGCAGAGGUUUUUAUCCAGUGGUCCGUAGUCCCCUGCUGCCGAGGCACACCUGACAGAAGAGGCAGUGAACUGUCAGUGCCCUUCACGAGCGGGUCACAUCCUAGUCAUCCAGGCCAUGCUUGUGCUCAGGAACCUCCAUGGCUCCCUAGUGGCCACGUGGUUUAUUUCGAGGUUCUUUAACAACCACAGCCUGAGUCUUGGACUACCCAUCCUAGUCCUCCUCCUCCAACAGAAGUCAAAAUAGAUCCCAGAGUCUCACCCGACUUGAAUCCUGUGGUGUCCUGUCAUUCAGGUAGUUUUUUUCUUCCCUCUUCUUUAGGACGUUAGCUCUAAUUUGCGUGUGGAAAUAUUUCUGGAUGAGAUCUCCUAGGUCUUUCACUUUAGCAUCCUGGGGGCUUGUUCUGAUGACAUCUUCUAACAGCUUGACCAAAGAGCACCAUGAAACUAAUACAAGGAAAGCGUUGUCUAAUUCCUGGCCUUUGUCGUCAUGGAGCAUUUGCCGUUUCCUGAUGGACUCUCUGGACAAUAGAUUUUGUGACCAGGAAUCAGGAUUGGAGGGAGGGAAGGGGAUGCAUUUGAGGGCGAGGUACCUUUUUUUUGGGGAAGCUGUUACUCUUCCCAUCCAUCUUCCCGCGUUCACUCUUGGGUCCUAACUCCAGCCUCUGCAGAGACUCCAGUCCAGUUUCCUGGAGACCUUUACCAUAGAGCGAGCACCAGUACUGCUCCAUCCUGAAGCAGGGGGUGGGGGGUCUUGUGAAGUUUAGCCAGAAGCCUUGGCCACCAAAAAAACCUCAGCUUUGCCUCUUCCAGCCCCUCAACAUGGGGAGGUGGGGACCUCAGGGGCCUUUGUAAGUGCCCCCUGCAAGGGCUUCCCAUCCUCCUUCUUUGUAAUCUGACCAAGUGGCCUUGGGCAAGUCACUUCCUCUCUUCUUCUACAGAGGAUGAACUGACCAGGGGACAGGAAGAUGUCUGCUGGACAAGUGCUGCUGGCAAGAUGAAAGGAGAUGUGUGUCAUUCCUCACCAGGCUCUUGUCUGACAUUCCCCAGGGGGUGGGUUUGGAGGCAGGAUGGCCAACUUCUCCCAGCAUGGGGCUCCUCUCUCCUGGGGAAAUCACAUUUUUCAGGAGGCCUUGUUCCAUAGCCCUCCUUACACCAAAGAAUCAUGUCUUUACCCAGCUCCUCUGGCCCUGCUCCCAGUCCCCAGUGGACCAAAUGCUUGGCGAUGGUGUGGGUAGGACAUUUCCCAAUGAACCAAAGCCUACCUUUUCUUGACCUGAGAGGACAAAUCAGCCACUCUUGUGCGCUGCCUGGUGGCUCUGAGGGGCCCCCUCUGUGCACGAUUGUCUGCUGAUUCAUUCAUCCAGUGAUUGUUUACAGAGCAUUUGGGCAUCUGCCAUUAAGCCAGCCUCAGUGAGAGGCCACCGUGGUGAACUGGACGGUCAAGUUUCCCGGCCUUUUAGGGCUAAACUUCCAAUGGACCACAUGCCUCUAAGAUGCAUGAGGUCUAGAAACCAUCAGAUGAGCAGGUCUUGGAACCAGAACAUGGUUCAACAAUCACUGCAUUUUCUCGAGCUGAAUUUUCGGAGUUGGGUAGAAAAAUAAAAAUUCACUGAAAGGAAAAAGCACGUUUUGUGGGAACCCAACGAAGCAGAACCCACAAUUAACAAGAUUUCUCUAAUUUGAUGGCUCCUCAGAGAAGAACGCAAUCCCGAAAAAGGCUAAUUACAUAUUAAUUGAUUUGGCCCCCAAAUAGCAUUUUGACAGCCCUUUGGGGCUGAAGGGACCUCCAGAGGCCAUGGCAGCCGGCCCUUUGCUUUAUCAGAAGUCUCCACGGAAUAGAUGAUGUGUUAGAUGAGGUGAAACCUUUGGCAUUAUUGAGCAAAAUUUAAGUAGGAAAGCAGACUAACCCCAGCUGGAAGGUCUGUGGCUCUCGUAUAUCCAUAAUCGUUGACCAGAAGGCUUGCAAUUAAACAGACAAGAGGAGUCAGAGGCAGCACUCUCCGAGAAGAUGGGCAGAUUUUAAACCACUGAACUGAUUAACAAGGAGGAAGAAUUUCUAGUCUAUUCCCAGCAGGCCAAGAAAUUGCUGAUGCUCCCUCAAAGAGGCACACUGUUUAGCUUCAGCCAAUUGUGUAUCCUUGUACCACCAAACAUUAAAAAUUGAAGAAGUGUCAUUUGUGACCCUAGGCAUAGAAGAAGUUAAGCUUGAACUUGUUUCAAACUCACACCCAUUAAAGUGAUUGGCGCGCACGCCCGGGGUUCAUUCUGGGGGCGGGGCAGAGAGAUGUGAUCUUGCUCUCGUUUGGGGCACUGACUGGGUAUCUUUGGGUCUCUGGAUUUUUUUCUCUUUUUUUGGCAUGGCUGGACAGUCUCAUGACUGUGGGGGAAGAGGACCUGGGUUUGCCCUGACGGCGAUGCUGCUGCCUGAAGGCCUCCAGAACAUUCCCCGGGAGUGAGGGAAAUCAGGAAGUUUCUACCCGGAGCUGGGUCAGCCUGGCCACACUCCAGGAAGAUGGAGUGGUUUGUCCCCAACACCUGACAGGGACCUCCCUCCCCACGUUGUGGGGUGUUUGGGGUUUGGACGACAGGCCCGGCUGUGGUCAAGGCAUGGACCUUGUGGGGGGGAAGCUGCACCAGCUUUGGAAAACCAGUGAUUCCAACUGGCCCACAGUGAACCAAAUUCGGAGAAGCCUACUGUUCCUGUUCCUGUUCGUUUUCCUUUUGUUUCUCUUCUCUGGCCUUCUCCACCUGUGGAGAGGGUGCCUUCACAAAUGGCCUUAGAAUGCCGUUCUGAAGUUUAACAGAAUGAGACAACUAUCAAAUGAAUAUCAGAGGUAUUUAUUAUCGCAGCUUAUCUGAAGAAUGAAAAAAAAAACAAACUAUCACCAAUGUUUACAAGUCCAAGUAGACAUCCAGCCCGUGUAAAAUAUGUAAUUUAUGCAAAGGGAUUGCAUCUUUUUUUUGUAACGAAUGCACUAAGCAACCCUGUAUAUAUUUUACAAUGUCUUUACAGAAAAAGAAAGAAUCAUUUACUGUAGUGUUGUAAAAUAAUGCACUUUUCUAAUUUUUUCAUUAAAAUCUCUAUGGCACGUU